rnacentral:ncRNA from 2 species
GAGUGAGGUAGAGGCGCGAAAACCAAGAGUACCACCCUGAGAUCGGGUAUCUGUGAAGGGUCGGGAAAGGGGAAUUCGCCGAAGUGUGGAGGGAAACCCGCUUUUCUCCAUGCUGGGUCUGCGUUGAACAAAUGCAGGACUGUCAUCUGCACAAUGACCAAUUGUCAGAUGGAGAGCUAUCUCACGG